rnacentral:misc_RNA from 1 species
AGUUUCGGCAUACAAUAUUUUUUAAAGCGCGCUGAAAGUGUUGUCUUUGUUUGGUGGACAUAUAUAUAUAUUAUACUUUCAAAUUGACAAUGGACGCUGAAGGUGGUUAUGGUGGAAAUGGCACAUCUAGCCCAGAUAAUACAUUUGACCAGAGAUCAAGAUCACGAUCUCCUGUUGAACGUAACAAAGAAAGAGACAGAAAAGACUAUUCUAGGGAUAGAGGAGGUGAUAGACGUCAGCAAAGACUGUCUGGCUUCAGACGUGUAUAUGUAGCUAACAUUCCUUUUGAAUCUAAAUGGACAGACAUUAAAGAUCUGUUUAGAGAGCAAGUUGGAGAUGUUUCAUAUGUGGAGUUAUUCAAUGAUGAAAAUGGCAAAUUUAGAGGAUGUGGAAUUGUUGAAAUGAAAGAUGAAACUGCCGCACAGAAAGCCAUUGACUUACUGCAUAGGUAUGAAUACAAGGGAAGAAGUUUGGUGGUGAAAGAGGAUGAUGAUGUUGAGAGAGACAGAUAUGGUAGACCUUUAAAAGGCACCAGAGAAAGAACUAUUUCUCUAAAUAGCAACUUUGGAGGAGGGAUGGAUGUAGUUCUGGGAGGAAUGGGAAGUGAAACAUCCUCUCAAUUCAACACUUAUGGAUUGAGUCCACAGUUUCUCAGGUCACUUGGAAUUGAUGGACCUUUGUGUAACAGAGUUUUUGUUUCAAAUCUGGAAUACAAAGUAACAGAGGAUAAACUGGAAGAGAUUUUUAAGUUGGCAGGCAAGGUGAACAAAGUCGAUCUUAAAAAGGAUAAAGAUGGAGGAAGCAGGGGUUGUUGUGUUAUUUCUUAUGAACAUCCCGCUGAAGCUGUGCAGGCCAUUUCCAUGUUUAAUAACCAGAAGCUGUAUAGUCGUACCAUGAGUGUUCGAAUGGAUAAAAUGAAUGAUGAAUUUGAUGGUUUACCAUCGAAGCUACCAGGUGGUCUUCAAGGAAUUGGAAAAGGCCUCGGAUCAAGUGGUCAACCUCUCAAUAUUACCAGUUUGGUUACUGCAGCCAGUCUUGGAGCAGGAAUGCUUGGUGGUGGACUUGGAUUAAUGGGAAUGAAUUCCAUGAAUGCAGGUGUGGGCAACAUGGGCACAGGAAUGGGAGGAGUUGGAAUGGGCAUGAGCACUGGAAACUUGAGUAACAUGAUGGCAAGUCAGUCAGUUGGAGGUAUGGGUGGAUUGAAUGCAGCUAUGCAAAUGGGUGUCACUGGAGAUCAAGGAAUGAUGAGUUCCGGAAUAGGUGGAGGCUUGUCUGGAGCAAUGGGCACUGGUAUGAACAUGGUUUCAGCAGCAGGACUUGGAAUGAGCAAUAAUAGUACUGGUAGUGGUAACAUGAUGGGAGUUAUGGGAGGUCUCGACCUUGGCACUGGAGGUACUGGGAAUUUAGGAGGUGGGAUGAAUAACUUUGGAGAUACAGAUCGCCUAAAUUUUGAAAGCCGAUUAAGGGGCUCGGAUACCAUCACUGUCAAAAAUCUUCCCCAUUCAUACAACUGGCAGUCAUUGCGUGAUAAAUUCAAGGAUGUUGGUGACGUGAGAUAUGUAGAAUUCAAGAAGGGAAUUGCUUAUAUACGUUUCAGUUCGGAACGGGAUGCACAGCGUGCAGUUGAUCUAAUGGAUGGAGCUCGAAUUCAUGGGCGCUCAUUGGAGGUUCAACUUUACUGAGCACAAACUUUUGUUACAGAAGAAAUAACUUGUGCAGGUGGUCAGAAAAGUAGCAGUUUCAUUUUGGUGAUGAUUCAGCUGUAAGAUUUUUUUUGUGUAUCAGAACUUUUUAAAGUCAGGAAUUUGGAUUUAUCCAACUGAAUAUUGCUUGAUUUGAAUCCUACACCUCUUGCACACCAGGCAAGUGCUCUACCAAGUUAAGAGGUUAUUCCACUAGUGCUUACUAGCAAGCCACUAUUUAGCAACUAAUUCAAACUAUCACACACAAAUAUCAUAAUGACAAUCAAACUGCAACGACUUUUAUGCAGAUAUCAACAAAUGAAAGAGAUAUGCUGAAUUGGACAUUGAAUCAUCAGACCAAUUCAAGUCAGAAGGGUGCCAUACAAAUAAACUAAUUGAUGCAAAGCUGCUUGGACUCUGAUCAACAUGUGUAUGGAGAGAUGGAGAAAUAAGAAGCUUUUGAAAGUUUUAGUAACCCGAUUUCUCUACAAGUAUGAGAUAGAUAGACCCACAGAUAACAUCAGGUUCACCCAUAAUUAAGACGAGUUUCUGUACGAGAUAAUUGGAAUGAGUUCCUUUCUAAGUGGAAUGUAAAGUCUGGACAACUUUAAAAAGACUUAACGAAAUCUUAUUUUAUAAAUAAGCCUGAAAAUUCAGUGUGUGCAUUUGUGUGGACAUAUGAACACCCUAUCCACUAGAUUGAGUCUAGCCUUGCAGCCUUCUUUCUCUCGAGAUUGAUUGUCAUUGAACUAAAUACCGUGAUCUCCAAAAAGCAAGCCCUUCUCAGAGAUCGUCUAGUAGAAAACUGACCUAAGAAAGAACUCCAGAAUUUAGCGUGUAAACCUCGGUAUUUUUAAGAGAAACCAUUAGUUUGUGUAACUUUUUCUGAAUGUGAUUUACCAUGGCAUUUUUUAUUUUUACUGUAGUAUAGUUAAGUUAUAUUCAUUAUUUUUGAUCCGUGUUUAUUAAAUAUGUCUGCUUGCCCUUGUGGUACACAAGAAAGUUAAUUAGUGAUCAUAUGCAUAAUAAAUAAAAGUAUAAGGGUUACGUCCAGGUAACAUUCCAGCAUUUUCCUUCCAGUUUUGGAAAUAUGCCAGUUUACUAAAUGCAAUUAUGGGCGUUAAUUCAGGAUGUUGAGGCAUAUUUCUGACAUGUUCAGAAUUAUUUAGAUGCAUAUGAUGUAUUCAUGCCGUUUAAUACAGUAUUUGUUAAUUUA